UUCCGUAAUUAGGGUUUUCCAUCAAAUGAAUCGAAGAACUGGAACUUUGCAGAAGUUGCUACUGCAGGAUUGAGGUUCUGUUUGUGCUUUUGACAGGUGUUCAAGCAAGAGGGUUCAUAUUUGGUCCUCCUAUUGCAUUGGCUCUUGGCGAGAAAUUUGUUCCCAUCAGAAAACCCAACAGGUUACCUAGUACAUGAUUUUUUCAUCUGUGACUUUUUUAGUUCGAUCACUUGAAUGUACAGAACAUAUAUGUCUACAUAAUAUUUGAUAUUUAGGUUUUUGGAUAGUGACUUGUAACACACACACACAUAUACAAGCUAUAAUAACAAUUAACAAGUUUUGUAAGGGAGAAGAUUGAAGUAUUAAGUUGGAAUGAUCGUAUUUUUGUUUUGGUGGUCUCUGUAAAAUGUAGCGGCUCCAAUGGCAGGACUGCUAAUUGUGUGUUAUAGAAAGAAGAAGCCAAAACAUGGGCUAACUUAAUAUGCUAUUAUUAAUAAAGGAAAAGUGUACGGGUUAGGCAAUGAUAGUGACACGUGUGUACAUAGCAGAGAAGACCCUGAGGUAUUUUUAAUCCUUUUAGACUAAUAACUUUUGUGCAUUUGUAUCGUUUCCCACUGUUAUUAUGUGUGUUUGGUUUGAGAUGCUUGUUUUUUAUUGUUAGGUUUGAUGCUCUUAAAUUAGUGAGAAUGUUAAGGAAUUUCAUAAUGAUUUGAUUACACCUUCUUUACGGGUUGUUUCAUACAAAAAAAUGUUUUUAAAAUUAGGUAUAAUUUCCUUCUUAAUAUGUAAUUAAACUGGAACAUGCUAUUUCGCUUCUAGCACUUGAAUUGUAGCCCACAGUUGUAUUUUGUUUUCUUUGCAACCAACUUGACCCAUUCGUAGUUUUCGUUAAUUCUGAUUUCUUGAUUCUAUUCAUUGGUUAUUUUGUAGAUUGAAAAGUUGAACUUAGUUAUCAAGGAGCUCGUUAAGGAAAAAGAUGAAGAAAAAGAUGAAGAAAAAGAAACGUUCAAUGGAAUUAUUGCGGCGUUGUUGGCUGACAAAGAAAAAGAUAAGGGGGAUAAAGAUGCGUUGCUUGAUAGGAUGUCACAAAUUGAAGCUAUGUUAACAACUGCAGUUCGAAGAUAGGCUAUAAACACUUGGUUUUGAAUGUUUAUAUGUUUAAUCUUAUUAGGAUAAUUUUAGUUAGUUUAUAUUUUAGUUGGUAUUUUUUAUAUGCUUUUGAAAACAAGAUAUUUUAUAUAAUUUUGGGAUUUUAUUAGACUUUUUUUUAUAUUA
rnacentral:lncRNA from 1 species